CUUUCUACAAAGAAAACACGCUAUAAUUUAUUAUAAUAGUCAAUAUUGUCUUUCGGUAUGUAUUUUGAAUUACAAACUCCAAACGGAACUGUAGAUAAUAUAAUAUUAUACAGUCGUACGGUGUUUUUCUUUAUCGUGUAACGCUUUCUCGUCGCGACUGUCAAAAAUGGUCGAAUACCUAGUCGAUAAAUCUACAGGAUGACAAAUAUUUGUACGAAAAACAAUAUAAAACUGCGCGCAAGUGUUCAGGUACACGAGUAUGAGAUGUUUAAAAUUUAAGUCGGAACCGUCGAAAUCGUCACUGUCGGAGGAGACUAUAUAUUAUUAAUGUACACUGUUAUAUUGUAAUUAUAGUAAUUACUUUUCGAGUUACGGCCAAAGGUUGAAAUAUAUAGUUGUUCGUAAUGCACACUUUAUGCGAAACUAUACCGUAUUAUAGCCCAUAGGUAUCUUCACUUUCCAUCCCCGUCGAUGGCGCCAUUUCAGUUUUUGAUGGAGGGGAAAGACUUUUUGAUCAGCGCAUCAAAGAAAAAAACCGAACCGCUCCGCUCGCAAACUAAUUUCAAUUUAC